CUAAGACUCAUUGCAAACUAGGAUUUUGAUAAUUAGAAUACAGACCACUUUGUUUAGCUGUGUGCUAACAAAACCAAAGAGAGAUUCUCUAGCCCGUUGCUCUUGUAUUUUCCCUUGUGGAGAUUACAGAAGCGGCCGCGUCAUCGCCACCUAAUCUGUGCUCCUGAUUCAUGUUUAGGUUGCGUAGGUUGGUUCUUUAAGAGUGUGAUUGGGCGAAUCCUUGGUUCAGACUGCUGUAGAGAGGCGGGAGUUGGCUCCUUGUGCGUAUCGUCAGGUUGCACUAGUUAUCGCUGCUUGCAGCAAGUUAUCCGCCGUUCUUCGGCAAGUUAUCAAGAUCAAGAUCCUUCGUCGUGAAGAUCGGGACAACAGCCUCAUUAUCUUGUAUCAAAGCAUUCGUUGCCACGGUAGGAUUUUUACCAUUAGCUACAUAUAUAUUUUGUGUUCGUCCUAUCCACUAAAAAGCCACAAAAAUAUUUUGCAUCAGCCUGUUGUUUCAAUCUAUUAUUCUUGUGAGUUUGGUUAAAUUUUGGUCCAUUAGAGUCUCUAUUUUAGUUGCUGAUUAUAUUCCUUUGCAUGUCCUUUGAGCUUCUUUAACAUAUCUACAAAUUCCUAAAACAAAAAUUCAGAAACCCGUAUCAUCCGUCGCAUAAACUUUGAUCCUAUCAAGUUAGAACACUGACGGUUGUGUCUUGUUUCUACCAAAAAGAAAGUGUGUAAUUUUAUAUAUGAUCUUAUUCUUAGUUGUGUAAAAAAAGGUGACAAAAAAAAGAGAAAGAAAGAAAAGACUCAAAAAAAGAGAAGAAAGAUUGAGGAAAGAAAAGUUGUGAAGGAAGAGUAGAAAGUUUUCAGUUUGUUUAUGUGCACAAGCUCUGAAUUUUAUAUCAAGUUGCACAUCAGCUUGUUAUCUAUCUUUGGUGCAAAAUUUUGCUUGGGGUUGAUUGCAACACUUGCAUUCUAAGCAUACACCUUGUUUGCAUCAAAUCUGAAAGUAUCUUUGCGUGUGUGUUUGAUCCUAUUGAAGUGUUCGAAAUUCAACGUGAUGCUUUCUCUAUGAAUAGCAUAUGUGCGUGAAGGAAUUGCAUGCACAUUUUAUGGCUAUGGUUGGCAAAAGAAAUGUGGUUGCAUGACAUUUGCAAGGUCAUGGUCUUCAAGAGAGAUGCGUGAUCUUCGUCACACUCCUUGCGCACAGCCAUGGAGUAAUAUUGUUGGAUGGCAUGCAUAGGCUAUGAGUAGUCAUUUGCUCAGAAUAGAGUUCCACCA
rnacentral:lncRNA from 1 species